rnacentral:tRNA from 1 species
GUUUUCAUAGUUUAAAUUAAAACAUUACACUGAAAAUGUAGAAAUAAAAUUUGAAAAUA